rnacentral:tRNA from 1 species
AGCAAAAAAGCCAACUUGGAGAGUAGGGGACUGAAAAUCCCCGUGUCGGCGGUUCAAGUCCGCCUUCUGGUA